UCCCCCUUAGCUCAGUCGGUAGAGCACCUGACUGUUAAUCAGGGUGUCGCUGGUUCAAGUCCAGCAGGGGGAG
rnacentral:tRNA from 1 species